rnacentral:rRNA from 1 species
AUGAACGCUAGCUACAGGCUUAACACAUGCAAGUCGAGGGGCAGCAUGGUCGAAGCUUGCUUCGACUGAUGGCGACCGGCGCACGGGUGCGUAACGCGUAUCGAACCUGCCCUAUACACGGGGAUAGCCUUGCGAAAGUAAGAUUAAUACCCGAUGCCAAGUUGAGAUCGCAUGAUUUGAUUUGAAAGAAAUUCGGUAUAGGAUGGCGAUGCGUCUGAUUAGGUAGAUGGCGGGGUAACGGCCCACCAUGCCGACGAUCAGUAGGGGUUCUGAGAGGAAAGUCCCCCACAUUGGAACUGAGACACGGUCCAAACUCCUACGGGAGGCAGCAGUGAGGAAUAUUGGUCAAUGGGCGGAAGCCUGAACCAGCCAAGUAGCGUGCAGGAAGACGGCCCUAUGGGUUGUAAACUGCUUUUGUGCGGGGAUAAAGUGUGGGACGCGUCCCAUAUUGCAGGUACCGCAUGAAUAAGGACCGGCUAAUUCCGUG